rnacentral:rRNA from 1 species
GACGAACGCUGGCGGCGUGCUUAACACAUGCAAGUCGAACGAUGAACCCGGAGCUUGCUCCGGUGGAUUAGUGGCGAACGGAAGAGUAACACGUGAGUAACCUGCCCUUGACUCUGGGAUAACUGCGGGAAACUGUAGCUAAUACCGGAUACGACCCUCGGCGGCAUCGCCAGGGGGUGGAAAGAAUUUCGGUCAAGGAUGGACUCGCGGCCUAUCAGCUAGUUGGUGAGGUAACGGCUCAACAAGGCGACGACGGGUAGCCGGCCUGAGAGGGUGACCGGCCACACUGAGACGGAGACACGGCCCAGACUCCGACGGGGGGCAGCGGAGGGGGAGAUUGCGCAAUGGGCGCAAGCCUGAUGCAGCAACGCCGCGUGAGGGGUGACGGCCUUCGGGUUGUAAACCUCUUUUAGUAGGGAAGAAGCGAAAGUGACGGUACCUGCAGAAAAAGCACCGGCUAACUACGUGCCAGCAGCCGCCGUAA